AAGCACAGAAGAGGGAUGGGAGACGUAUUCACAAGCAGUCAUCACUUGCAUCAACAUCUAUCCCAAUGUUUGCAGUGAUCAAGGCGCAGUGCAAUGUGCCCAAAUGUGUGCUAGCGAGACUUCAGAAUCUGAGGGUGAGGUUGAGUCUGGAGGGGAACAAGAUGCGAAGCAAGAAUCAUCAGGCAUUAAAAGAUCGUUCACAGCUCACUCUGUGAUGAAAAAAGCAAGCCAAAUGGGAAAUACGCAGUGCAACAAUGAGAAGUGGCAUUCAAGUCAGUCUGUUGCACCUAUUUCAGAUGAUGGCAUUAAGCAGGUCAUCAGGCUUCUACAGACGGUAAUCUUGAGAGUCGAGCACCUGGGAAGCCAACUAGAUAUAAUACAAGCAAAGCUUUGUGACCAACAACUGUAGCCUGAAGCAGAUUUGUUAGAAAAACCAUUUUGUGACAUCACGGAGUUCUAACUGUUUGAUCAAGGUCUCUCAGAAAGUGCUGCAAUGAAGUCAAAGUUGGUACGGGAACUCGCUGCCUUAGGAGGAAGAAAUGUUAGUUUGUCUACGCGUCGCAUUCUUGAAGCCCUGAUGACCCAGGAAGUGGCUGUUCAAUAUAGUUGGCUCGGACAAAAAGGAAAGAAGAAGUUCUUGUCGUUGACAACCUGCGACUUGAUACAUAAAAGUGUUAAGUGCACAUUUGAAACUGUAAAAAGAAGUGAAGUUGAGGACGUUGUAAAAACGUGGCUCAGACACGCUGGGGAGAAGCUUAGAAAGAAUAACAAACAGUCUGAAAAAGUCACGGGUGAGUAUUUCUUCUGAUAGGUUCUCGUAAUUAUUACAUUUAGGUUUCCACCUAAUAACAUUUAACUAAUAAAUAUAAUUUAAAGGUUUUCCUGCAGCUGAUCUGAUAAGUGCUUAAAAAUACAAUCUGAAACAUGAUUAUGUUGGGCAGUUUAACAUUAUUUAGUGGAAUAAGCAUACAGGCUACAGGUUUUUUUAUGCUGGUACUCUUCUGUUUGCGUGAAGUGUCCACUUGCUGUAUUUAUUCGAGAAGAAUGCGGGGUAUUUUUUCUGAAGUCCUCAGCCUAGAAGUUACCCCGUACCUUAUAUGCGACGCUGAUAGAUUGACUUAUUCAAUAUGGCGGUAGCGGUGCCACAUCUCUGGUGAUCCUAAUUUUAAACAUCAGCGAGAGGUGUAGCAACUAAUAAGCUUUGGCAGGUGAGCCAGUAUGGUAUUCUGUGUGUAUAUUCCAUACUUAGUAUUUGAAAGUAAAAUUUAAUAAUAAAGAUGAAGUGUGGGUUUACGUGAAUUUCUCCUUGAAAUGUGGCUUCUGUGGCAGCACGCGCCACACUGCUAGAAUACCACACCAUAAGGCAACAUCCGCAUAUAAUUCCAACUGGUCAUUCAGUUUAUUCUGCUAACUUUCACCGCCGACACCUCAGGAGUAAGAUGAGGCGCUGUGCUUUUUGGUAUUUCUAGCGAGUGCCGACGGGUCUCAAUAAUUCGUCGGCUACUGUAUAUCACCUUAUAUUAUCGUUCAUUCUAGUUUUUUUUUCUUGGGUGCCCCAACUGCACCCUCACCUUAUAAUCGAAUAAGUAUGGUAUAUGCUUAGAACUACAGAAAGUUGAACUGGUUUGGUAGGGGUUCGUUGUGACAGUAGGUAAGGCAUAGACACGAACACACAAGAAGAGAACCAGAAAACUCAAACGGCAUUUGUGUUGUCUGGUUCUCUUGUGUUUUGUAUCUCCACGCCUUACCUUCUCUCACGAAGGUAUAUGCCUUUACUUCCUCCUCAUUGAGAGUUAAUUUCUGCAAUCUCCCUUUUAAUUGAAGAGUACACCUUGAAUUGCCA